rnacentral:lncRNA from 1 species
GGGAAGGAAUCCAUGCAGCAGAAAAUCAGAUACUUUCAACAGCAGAGUCGACGCUACCCAGAUUCACUUUGGACGUGUGAAGGAGGCAGCAACCACGUGGAACUCGUGUCUCGAACACAGUGCAGUCUUCACACCUCAGCGCUGGGCAUCGGGAGGCAGCCUUCAUGUGAUGCUACCCUAUGAGGCCAGCAAGGGCUCCCGGGAAAUGAAAACGGCAGCAGCCGGCACCCAGUCCCAGCAGCAGACAGGAGCAGGUUAAUCCACACCAUGGACACUGUCUAUGCAAAGCGGAUAUUUGGUCCCAGAUGGCUCAACCCUUGGCUAUUACACAUCCUUAAAGCUGACACUGGCAUAGCACAUGGGUAUGUAACACUUAAAGUAUUGCUGCAACCCUUCAGGAAGGAUGUCCUGGAAAGCUGCACACCCCCAGGCGUCAGCCUUCUGACAUCGCAUGAGGAGGGGCUAAAUGACAUUUGGAGACCAUGUGUGCUGAUGUGGUUUGGAUGUGUGUCCCUCCAAAACGUAUGUGAAAUGUGAUCCCCAGUGUUAGAGGGGAGGCCUGGUGGGAGGUACUAGAUCACAGAAGUGAAUCAGUCAUGUCAUGAACAGUUCAGCACCAACCCCUUGAUAUGAGUUAGUUCUCACUCAGUCAGUUCACCUGAGCUCUGGGUGUUUAAACGUCUGGGAACCCCCUCCUCUCCUGCUCCCACUCUUGCCAUGUGAUGCUUUGGCCCCCUUCACCCACCACCACAAUUGGAAGCUUCCUGAGGCCUCACCAGAAGCAGACGCCAGCACCAUACUUCCUGUACAGCCUGCAGAACUGUGAGCCAAUUUAACCUCUUUUCCUUAUAAAUUAUGCAGCCUCAGGUAUUUCUUUACAGCAUUGCAAUAACAGGCUAAUGCAUGGAUCAUCAAGAAGAUGGAUUUCCACAUUUGAUUAAAUAAUAUGCAGCUAAUUGGC